GGCAUGUUUGAGACAGAGUCAGAGUGAAUGAAGCAGAAAGAAGUUGGAGCACAGGAGUUUUGAAGCCCGUCCACCUAAACCGAUAGCAAGUUACAGAUUGGCCAUCACUGAGACGUGGCUAAAGGAUGCAUGUCUCUGGGAGCUGAACAUCCAAGGAUACACGGUGUAUCGGAAGGAUAGGCAGGGUCAGCUGGGUGGACAACUGCGAGGGAAAGUCAAUUCAGCAUUUUGUCGAGGGCUGCUGAUUGAAAUGAAAAUACUUCUGCCAUCUCUUCCCAACCCUGUGUAUGUCCCUGCUAGUAGUUGGCUCUGUAUGGCUGAGACCACUGCAACGCCAGUUAUGCAGGGAC